GACGAACGCUGGCGGCGUGCCUAAUACAUGCAAGUCGAGCGCAGGAAACUGACGGAACUCUUCGGAGGGAAGGCAGUGGAAUGAGCGGCGGACGGGUGAGUAACACGUAAGGAACCUGCCUCAAGGAUUGGGAUAACUCCGAGAAAUCGGAGCUAAUACCGGAUAGUUCAUCGGACCGCAUGGUCCGUUGAUGAAAGGCGCUCCGGCGUCCCCUUGAGAUGGCCUUGCGGUGCAUUAGCUAGUUGUGGGGUAACGGCCCACCAAGGCGACGAUGCAUAGCCGACCUGAGAGGGUGAUCGGCCACACUGGGACUGAGGCACGGCCCAGACUCCUACGGGAGGCAGCAGUAGGGAAUCUUCCACAAUGGACGAAAGUCUGAUGGAGCAACGCCGCGUGAGUGAUGAAGGUUUUCGGAUCGUAAAACUCUGUUGUAAGGGAAGAACACGUACGAGAGGAAAUGCUCGUACCUUGACGGUACCUUACGAGAAAGCCACGGCUAACUACGUGCCAGCCGCCGCGGUAA
rnacentral:rRNA from 1 species